GUGAGGGGAUAAAAUGUGGGAGUGAGGUUAACACUGGUUUUUUUUGUUUUCAAACUAAGUUUAUAUCAGCCGUUAGAUCAAGGAGUUGUAGGAUCUACAACUCUAAAUGGGGUGUAUGGGUAGCACGACUCUUAAAUUUUUGGAAAAACUUCAAAAACCCCCCAGUGGUUUCGCACUUUUUCAUUUUAGUACCCUGUGGUUUAAAGUGCAUCAAGUUACCCUGUGGUUAAUUUCUCAUUUUAUCACUUUAGUACCCUGUGGUUUAAAGUGUAUCAAGUUAGUAUUCUGUGGUUUUAUUUUUGUAUCAAGUUAGUACCCUAUAGUUUUAUUUUUGUAUCAAGUUAGUACCCCGUGGGUUUUAAACUACAGGGUACUAAAGUGAUAAAGUGCGAAACCACAGAGUACUAACUUGAUACACUUUAAACUACAGAAUAUUAAAGUGAAAAAAA
rnacentral:lncRNA from 1 species